ACUAGGGAUCGAACUCAGGACUUUGUUGUGAGAAAGUUGAAUGAAUUUAUAAGUAAUACAUUUUAUCACAAUAUAGGAUGUGGUAACAUGAAGCUGAUAUAGCAUUGAUUUUAGUAAAUAAUCUUAUUGUACAUAUGCAGUUUUUCACCAGCAUAUUCAAUGGAGAAAGAAGAGUCAAGUAGAGAGAAGAGCUAUUUGAAGAAAAGGAACAAAGAAAGGUGGAUGGAUAUAUGUGUUAAAUUGAGGAUAGCUGGGCUGGAUGCUUUUCCACUGAGAGUGCCCCUGCCCUCUGAAAACUGAACCGAUACAUGAAAACCAGGAGAUAUGGAGAACCUGUGCAAUCAGGGAACAAUGGCAACUCUCUCGUCAAGAAUAAAUACGCUUUAUACAUCUGGAUGAACAGACAUGAUACACAUCAGCUCCAGAUGCUUCCUUAACACACA